rfam:Helianthus annuus linkage group 9, whole genome shotgun sequence.
UUUGGACUAGUUAGCAUGAAAACUCCGCGGUUAAGCGUGCUUAAGUGGGAGUAGUACGUGGAUGGGUGACCUCCUAGGAAGUCUCCACUGGGCCAACU